AAACAAUCCGCGGGUCUUCAGUGCUUAGUUGGGUUACUGUGUUGUUGUCCAUGGACAAAUAUAAAAUUAAGGAGCCUCUACCUGGUCUCUGUUUGGGCGAGAUCUAUCAUCUUCAAAUCCCUAGCACUCCGUAUGCGUGUAGCAAAAGGGCUAGGGAUCAUAAAACCACCACAUAAUAUUGUUGGACCGGAAUCUGAUCUCUGUACAAGGGGUUGGAAACAUGAGGUAUUUUUCCUCUCGGGUUACUUGUAGAUGGGAGUUAUCAUCAUGUAACUUCAACGGGAAAGAUCGAUAGGAUGGAUUUCAAUUGUAAUAUGUUCGUAGCUUGCUGGAGAAGAUUUUGCUCGAAUUCAUCAAAUACCACUGUUCAUUUCUUGAUCAUAUCAUCUUUUGUACGGUUGUCAAGACGUUAAGACGGUUUUCAGCACAAUUAGUUCAAUUCUCGGUACUCUUUCUGUUGAGAAGUGAUUAGAAUUGUAAUUUAAUGAAAGUAAUUAAAUUGCAAACUUGUGAAAGAUUUGCGCCCCCAUAAAAUUGUUAAUAUGUGCUUAUACU